AUCACUUGUGUGUGAUUUUUGGUGACUUGAUGAUCAAAGACUUAAAGAUAUGUACCAAAAAGUCCUCUUUUGCAACUCAGAACUCAUUAGUAAGUAUGAGUUUUGAUACACAUCAGAAGGGAUAUG